UAACUGAAUGAAGUUUCUUUUAAACCUUUAAAUUUUUGAAAUAUUACGAGUUGUGCCCCCGCUAAAGACAUUUAUUCCUCCUACUUCGGUUGAUUUAGCCCCCUGCCGGACCAGUAGGUAACUUGUUUAAAGCAUUUCCUGUUGAAAAAGCGGUUCAGUGGCGAAGGAAUUUACGGACAGUCAGAGGACGAGCGGGCAACCAAUCAAACUAAAUCAGAGGAAAACGGUAGAUACGAAAUGGUUAGAGGUCAGGAUCAGGAAAAUACCAUCUGAAUAAACGUCAAAAAGCGCCAGGUAAAAAAAAAAAGGUUGAAAACCCAGGAGGUGGCUGAGCUGUCACAUUUUCCACUGGCUGACCUGCUACUUCAGGGGUGGAAGCUGCAUAAAGGGAGAGAGACCUAAGUGAAGUAAGACGUCUAUGAGACAGGCAGGGAUGUGCGAGGAGUCCACAGGGAGAUGAGGAAUAUUUCACUCCGCCACUGAGGCACCCGGUGGGAAUAGUGGUUGAAACUGUGCCUUUAACUUUUCUUCCUGUUCUGCAUCCCAGCUCGCAUCAGGAGUCUGGUUUGAACAGGAUCAUCAUCAAACCAGACCAGGAUGGAAAGAGGGGGGGUAAGGGGAAGACAGCAUCACUUUAAAGCAAUCAGAGAGGAAUCAAUGAGCAGCUCAACAUAAAAUAAAAGUCUCCC